rnacentral:lncRNA from 1 species
CUUGGCCAUGGUAUGUAAUUCUGUGUUAUCCUAAUGCUUAAGUAGUAGGUUGCUCAUGGAAAUAAUAAUAACAAAGAAAAGGAUGCAUGUGCAAAUAUGAAGAAAAUGUGAACUGUCCAGUUUUGAUGCCUUAUAAGUAAUAAGUUAUUCUUGAUUUGCCUGUAAAUGUGGAUGCUAUUUUUCAUUUGCUUCAAUUUCUAUGCUUGCUUUAAUUUCCCUGCCUUACAAUAACUAAUAUGGUUGCUACUAUUCCCUUCAUGUUUAGAGCCAUAGAAAAGAUAAACAAUGCUUCGAUCUUAGUUUCAUGUUUAUUCCUUGAAGUUCUUUAGAAAUCCAUGAUUAACUGAGGACUUUAUAUUGGGUCCUGAGUUCAGUUGUUUAAAAUCUAUAUAUUUUUUUGUUCCUAAAUCACCAUAUGCUGAUUAUGAGAAGAUUUAUUGUUCCUAUUCUCUUGGCUCCAAUUUUUUUGGUUCAAAACUUGAUGUCUAAGUGUAUGCUUGAGUAUUUGGCAAUCAAUCCUGUGAAAUAGUUUCUAGUUAAGGUGGCAUAGAAGCAUAUAGUCCAGGCAUAAUCUGUUCUUAGAAUUUAUGAUUUUUUUGGUUUCUCCUCACCACAAAUUGUCUAAUGUAUUUGGCAGAAUGAGAUACAUGCAUUUCUCUAUGUGGAUGGGUAACCUAUAUCUUUGAUUUGAGGCAUAGUUUGAUGACAGCAGAACUUAUUGCUGAAGUUAUACAGCCACGUUGUUUGCAUGCUGAUGACCAGUUUUGGCGUUUAAGAUUUCAGAAUUGAGAUGGAUUUCCAGCUUGGAGGAUGUAUAGAGCCUGGAGAAGGUUAUGAUAAAUAAUGUGCUUGUUGUUGCACUUAUAUUAAAUAUUGUACCCUUUUUUGCUAAAUUGUUGUCUUUUGAAAUAUUUUAAGAUUAAAGAACUAUACUAAAUGCGGUCACAAAACUUAUGUAAUUCUAAUAUAGAAUGUAAACAAUUUUCUUAUGUAAUUCUAAUAUAGAAUGCAUCUUGUUUUAAUUUUCUUAAUUUAAAUUCAUUAAUUUUUAUAUUUAGC